GUGGUUGUGGCUCAGUGGAAGAGUGCUUGCCUAACAUGUGUGAGGCACUGGGUUCAAUUAUCAGCACCACA
rnacentral:tRNA from 1 species